rnacentral:rRNA from 1 species
GUAUAAGCAAUUUAUACAGUGAAACUGCGAAUGGCUCAUUAAAUCAGUUAUCGUUUAUUUGAUAGUUCCUUUACUACAUGGUAUAACUGUGGUAAUUCUAGAGCUAAUACAUGCUUAAAAUCUCGACCCUUUGGAAGAGAUGUAUUUAUUAGAUAAAAAAUCAAUGUCUUCGGACUCUUUGAUGAUUCAUAAUAACUUUUCGAAUCGCAUGGCCUUGUGCUGGCGAUGGUUCAUUCAAAUUUCUGCCCUAUCAACUUUCGAUGGUAGGAUAGUGGCCUACCAUGGUUUCAACGGGUAACGGGGAAUAAGGGUUCGAUUCCGGAGAGGGAGCCUGAGAAACGGCUACCACAUCCAAGGAAGGCAGCAGGCGCGCAAAUUACCCAAUCCUAAUUCAGGGAGGUAGUGACAAUAAAUAACGAUACAGGGCCCAUUCGGGUCUUGUAAUUGGAAUGAGUACAAUGUAAAUACCUUAACGAGGAACAAUUGGAGGGCAAGUCUGGUGCCAGCAGCCGCGGUAAUUCCAGCUCCAAUAGCGUAUAUUAAAGUUGUUGCAGUUAAAAAGCUCGUAGUUGAACUUUGGGCCCGGUUGGCCGGUCCGAUUUUUUCGUGUACUGGAUUUCCAACGGGGCCUUUCCUUCUGGCUAACCUUGAGUCCUUGUGGCUCUUGGCGAACCAGGACUUUUACUUUGAAAAAAUUAGAGUGUUCAAAGCAGGCGUAUUGCUCGAAUAUAUUAGCAUGGAAUAAUAGAAUAGGACGUUUGGUUCUAUUUUGUUGGUUUCUAGGACCAUCGUAAUGAUUAAUAGGGACGGUCGGGGGCAUCAGUAUUCAAUUGUCAGAGGUGAAAUUCUUGGAUUUAUUGAAGACUAACUACUGCGAAAGCAUUUGCCAAGGACGUUUUCAUUAAUCAAGAACGAAAGUUAGGGGAUCGAAGAUGAUCAGAUACCGUCGUAGUCUUAACCAUAAACUAUGCCGACUAGGGAUCGGGUGGUGUUUUUUUAAUGACCCACUCGGCACCUUACGAGAAAUCAAAGUCUUUGGGUCUGGG